CCAUUUGCUUAUUGUUUCUUUUGUUUCCCUUGCCUGGGUAAACAUGAUAUUCAAAUAGAUACUGCUAAGACAGAUUGAAGACUGUACUGCCUAUAUUUUCUUCUAGGAGUUUUAUGGUUUCAGG